GACGGAAGCUUGCCUUGGAGAGAGCGAUCCCUAAGGCUUGAGAGACUAUGUAGCCCAGGCGAGCUUCACACCAUGUUCCUCCUACCUCACUUUCCUGGAAUAUUGGGAUUACAGGUUUUUAAUGUCACUGAGCUUACUCACUACCUGGUAGAAUUAGAGGCCCAGAGAAAAGAUGAAGAGAGAGCCAAGAGGAAGAACCAAAGAGAUUCACAGCACAGAAAAUGGCAAGAGCAUUUUCUUUACUUGAAGAGGCACUGUUAGUUUUUGAGGCACAGGAUCCCAGUGUAUAAUGGUACCCAAAGAUUGUGGCAGUUGUUCAGAAUGUCAUCCAGUGCUACAGAAUCAUCUACAGCAUGAUGAGAAAAAAAACAGCUAUUCAGACAUCACUGGAUCCUUUUUUCAAGUGGGUAGACAGAAUUAAAUCCAUUUAAAAACCAUGUGUCAUGGGCCGGGGAUUUAGCUCAGCGGUUUAGUGGCCUACCUUGCAAGCGCAAAGACCUGAGUUCAAUCCCCGGUACCAAAAAAAACAAACAAAAAAACCUGUGUCAUUAAUAUCAGGUGUGAGUGAAUUUCCGUCUUGCCCUCUACCUCCUAUUGCUUGUGAUCUUCAGCUGCACCAUAUCCCCCUUACCCUCCCUCCUCCAGUUAAUAACUCUCUUCUUGUCAGUUCACUCCAUGUAAUCCCCUGCAUACCAAGUGUUAUACUGUACUGCUCGCCAUUUUACUGUAAAAGUAAAAAUAGUUUACUUACAGUUGUACUGCACUAUUCCACAAGGUACCUGUAAAAAUAAAAAGUUUAUUGCCGGGCAUAGUGGCGCACACCUGUAA